GUUGUUAUUAUCUAGUUGAUGCUGGAUACACAAAUUAUGAGGGAUUUCUUGCACCUUUUAGAGGACAAUGAUAUCAUUUGAAUGAGUGGCGUCAGGGUUAUCAGCCAAGUACUCCGCAAUAAUUUUUUAAUAUGAAACAUGCCUCAGCACGUAAUGUUAUUGAAAGAUGCUUUGGGUUAUUAAAACUUAGAUGGGGAAUACUUAGGAGUCCAUCAUUCUAUCCUGUAAGGGUGCACAAUAGAAUCAUUAUUGCAUGUUGUUUGCUCCAUAAUUUUAUUCGAACCUAUAUGAGUAUUGAUCCUAUUGAAGCGGAGGUGGGAGAAGGAUUACCUAGUAAUGUGGGAGAUGAUGAUAAACCGAAUAUCGUAAAUAUUCAUCUAUCAGAUGCAUGGGCUACUUGGAGGAUGGAACUAGCCAACCAAAUGUUCGAUGAAUGGCAAGCAUCUAGAAAUUAGUUAGGUUUAGGGACGAAAUGAGUUUGAGUUAAUUUGUUUAUGUUAUUUUAUGUAUCUAGUUUGUGAAACUUUGGUGGUGUUUGAAUUGUUUUUUGUAUUGUACUAAACUUGUUGAAUUAUAAUUUAAUUUCUUUUCAUUCAUCAUGUGUUAUAAUUUUAUACAGUGUUGAGUUUUUGAUUCAUGAUAUUUAACUUAAUUUUAAUUUUAUAGAGUGUUCACCUUUUGAUUCAUGAUAUUAAACUUAAUUUUAAUUUGUUUUUUUUCUUAAGAUAAUUAUGUCAGGUGUUUCAGAAUCAAAUGUUUCUUCCCAAGCUUCUCGAGGAACCAAAAGGAAAUGGGUUCCAUAAGAAGAUGCAGCAUUGGUUUCCUGCAUGGUGGACUUGCACAAUGUUGGAACCUUUAAUGCUGAUACGGGGUUCAAAGCCGGUUAUUUAAACGAGUUGGAAAAAUUGUUAGAAAAGGCUUUACCCAAUGCAAUGUUGAAGGCUAGACCUAAUAUUGAAUCGAGGAUUCGGUUACUAAAAAGGGAGUGGUCAAUCGUGUAUGACAUGCUUAAUGGCCAAAAAAAUAGCGGUUUUGGUUGGGAUGAGCAUAGGUAGCUCAUUGUUGCUGAAGAUGCGGUUUGGAACUCUUAUUUAAAUGUAAGAAUUAUUUCAAGUCUUUAUUAUCUUAUUUUUACCAAACUUAUAACUAAUAUGAUUUCCUCAUUUUUAUAGAGUCAUAAAGAAGCCGGUCAAUUCAGACAUCGUAGUUUCCCUUACUACGGCCAACUUACUGCCAUAUACGCAAGAGAUCGAGCGACUGGAAAAGAUGCUCAAACAGCCGAUUAUGUUAUUGAAGAAAUAAAUGUUCAGUGUGUACCUACUACAGAUAUUAAUGAAGAAAGAAACGAAUUCUAUGACUGCGAAACUGAUGUCUCUUUGGGUGACAUGGAUGUUUCUACAAUGGAACCGCAACCAGAUAGAAACCAAGGGGGUUCCACAUCUUCAAAGAAGAACAAAAAGAAUUCUGAUGCAAGUGAUCAUUUUUCUUCUUCAUUUCAUGAUGCUACCACUUUAUUGGCGGAAAACAUGUGGACUAUUGGCAAACAAAUCAGUAGGAGUAUUGCCUCUGAUGUGGUAGUUCAACAAAAGUCAAAAGAAUUCCAGAUCAUCCAAGAAAAAGCAACAAAUUUAUAUCCAACCUUGUGUGAAAUAGAAGGUUUAACUGUGGAUGAGCGCUAUCGAGCAUUGAGCAAAAUUCUAGAUCAUCCAACUCAAAUGCUCGUUUUCUUUAGUUUACCUUCUGAUGUGCGGUUGGAAUGGGUCAGAAGAUUUCUUGCUGACCAUUAAAAAUCAUGGUUCUGUUGAUGAUAUUUUCGUAACUUUUUCUGUUUGUAAUAUUUGGGAUGGUAUGUCAUUACAAUGUUCUAACUUUUUGAUGUUUUAAAAUUGUAUAACAUAUGGAUUAUGACAUAGAAUUUCAUGAAUUUCAUGUAACCUUUUGUUAAUAUAUGAAUAUUAUGUUCAUGCAAAAUAUAAUUCUCAAGUUAUUUAUUACUGCUAAUAUUUUUUUAUUGUAGAAUAAUUAAAUUAUUUGUUUCACUAAUGAUAUUUUAGCACAUUAAAAUAUGUAUUGCAGUUUAAAAAUAAUAAAGUAGAUUAUACAUUAUUUUUAUAGUAUUAUAUAUUAUGAUUUUAGUAAAUUCAUAUAAGAAUAAUUAUAGUAGAUUGAAUUUUAUUAAAUUAUAUAUUUUUAUUAAAUUAUAUUUAAUAAUAAUUAUGUUAAAUUAUAUUUUAUAGCAUUAUAUAUUAUGAUUUUAGUAAAUUCAUAUGAGAAUAUUUAAUAUUAAGAAUUUUAUUAAAUUAUAUUUAAUAAUAAUUAUGUUAAAUUAUAUAUUAUUGUAUUAUAUAUUAUGAUUUUAGUAAAUUCAUAUAAGAAUAUUUAAUAUUAAGAAUUUUAUUAAAUUAUAUUUUUAUUAAAUUAUAUUUAAUAAUAAUAAUGUUAAAUUAUAUUUUAUAGCAUUAUAUAUUAUGAUUUUCGUAAAUUCAUAUAAGAAUAUUUAAUAUUAAGAAUUUUAUUAAAUUAUAUUUAAUAAUAAUUAUGAUAAAUUAUAUUUUAUAGCAUUAUAUAUUAUGAUUUUUGUAAAUUCAUAUGAGAAUAUUUAAUAUUAAGAAUUUUAUUAAAUUAUAUUUAAUAAUAAUUAUGUUAAAUUAUAUUUUAUAGUAUUAUAUAUUAUGAUUAUCGUAAAUUCAUAUAAGAAUAUUUAAUAUUAAGAAUUUUAUUAAAUUAUAUUUAAUAAUAAUUAUGUUAAAAUAUGAUUAAAUUAUUUAUUAUUUAUAUUAAUAAUCUUAUUAAAAUUUAAUAACAAUAACAAUAAUCAUCUACCUAAAAAAAAUUUUGCUAAGGGUAUUCUAGUCAUUUUAGUUUUUUCCUUAUACUAUUACAACAUCAUUCCAUUCAACCAAACAAUUGAAUUACUAUUACGCCUCUAUUCCAUUACACCUCUAUUCCAUUACAACGAACCUUGAAUUUUGUGAAAUAAAUGGGCUACUAUUGUUAUAUAUAAAAAUCAGUUAGGCUUUAAAUAAAGAUUAAAUUGUAUAAAUUUCAUUUUUCGAGCCUAGAGAUAAAAUCAUAAUUAAUCAAAAGUAUAGGGGCAAAAUGGUAAUUUUUCCUAAAAUGCGAAUUGGAUGGAAUUGAAUGCGAAUUGUAUUAAAUUGAGUUAAAUUUACUUGUAUAGAUCCAGACAGACCUAGUUCGGAAUUGGAUCAAGGAAAACGAAAAGUAUCAAAAUAGUAGCCUACGAACACGAACAUUGUCGAGGUAAGUUCGUGUAAUUAAAUUUGUACAAUUAUACGCUCAAAUUGAAUGUUGUGUAUGAGAAUUAUGUGUCAUGCAUAUGAAAUUGGUCACAUAUCCGACAAUGGGCGACAAGUAUUAAAUCCCGUUUGAAUAAAUGAAAUUUGAUUGGAUAUAAGGUUCUCGUAUUGGUUGUGGUCCUGCAUAUGUUGUGGACAGACCACAGCUCGAAAGAGCAUCUCAUUAUUAGCUCUCAUGAGCUUCCCAAUAUAUGGUUCUUGCGAGCUUUCCAUUAAUAGCUCUUCGGAGCAUCCCGAUUGGUUGUGAUCCUGCAUGUGUUGUGGACACACCGUAGCUCUUAUGAGCGUCCCGAUAAAUGGCUCUUCGUGAGCUUCCCGUUUAAGGGCUCUUCGUGAGCUUCCCUUUUAAGGGCUCUUCAUGAGCUUCCCGUUUAAUUGGCUCUCCAUAGCUUCCCGUUAAUGGCUUUCUGGAGCUUCUUGUUACAUGGCUCACAUGAGUUUCCCAUUUAUGUGCUCGAAUUAGCAGUCCUGAAUACGAAUUUGCGGAUUGCAAUUUGUACACUUCUUGAUAUUGGCUCGUAUAAGCUUCCCGUUAAUGGCUCUCUGGAGUUUCCUGUUACAUGACUCACAUGAGUUUCCCAUUUAUGUGCCCGAAUGAGCACGCCCGUGUAUCCAUCAGUAGUUUAAAUGAUUCAACGGGUAAAGUUCUGAUAUGAGACAAUAUGAAAUUGAAAUGGACUAUACUAGUAUAUACCCGAAAUUUAUGGAAUUUAUAUAUGAAUACAAGAUGUGGAAAGUUUAUGAACAUCAAAAUUUGAUAUGUGAUGAGCAAAUCAUGUGUUAAGUUAUUAGCCAAUUUACUUUGGAUGCAUAUUUUGUGUUUACUUGAAAUGUAAAUGCAUGGUAAGUAAUUUUCCGUUAUACGAACUUACUAAGCAUUAAAUGCUUACUUGGUUUUAUUUCCUCUAUUUUAUAGUACUCAGAAGCUCGUAAAGGUUGGAAGCGGGUCAGAGCUACAUCACACUAUCUCUCGGACUUUUUGGUAUAUGUAAGAAACUAAAUUUUGGUUAUAAUAGCCUGUAUAGGGUAAUUUGGCCAACAUUAGCAUAUAUGUGUUUUAAUUGUAACUAGCCAUCAGAAUGGCUAGUGAUGGUAUGUUUUGAUAUAUAUAUAUAUGAGGAUAUAUCACAUUUGAUAUGAGUGUGCUUGGUAUGGUUGUAUUGGAUUUGGUAAAUUAGAUAUAAACAUGCAUAAAUGUGCAUUUGAUUAAUUUGGUAAGUUUAUGUGUUUGGACAAAUAGGUAAGUUUGUAUACUUGAACAGAUGUGAUGAUAUAUUAUGCAUAAGACUUGGUUUUGGCUUGAAUUAAAUGAUUGGUAUUGGCUUCAGAAUGUGUUAAAGUGUUGUUGUAGGUAGAAGACAAGUUGGGUGAGAAAAGUGGCCUUGUAAAUGGCCUAUUUUCGUCCACACAGGCGUGUGUCUCAGCCGUGUGUGACACAUGGCCAUGUGCAUAGGCGUUUGUCUCAGCCGUGUGUCCCCUACAUUUUUAAAACUACAAAACAGAAUACUCAAUUAUUUUCACACGGAUAGAGACACGGGCGUGUGUCUUAGCUGUGUGUGACACACAGCCUAGCACACGGGCGUGUCUCUUGGUCAUUUGAACCCUGCACCUAAUUAAUGCAAGUCAGUAUUCUCACACGGCCUAGCACACGGGCAUGUCGUUUGGCUGUGUGACCCAAGUCAGUAAGCACCCUAAAUUAGACACGGGCUGGGACACGGUUGUGUGUCUCACAACGAAUGCCCACAUGGCCUAAGACACGGGUGUGUCUCUUGGCCGUGUGAGCCACACGGCCUGCCCACACGAGCGUGUGUCCCCCGCACCUAAGGAAAAUUUGAAAUUUCGCAAAAAAUUCUCCGAGUUCUCGAUUUAGUCCCGACUUAUUUUUAUUGUAUAAAUUGGGGCCCAUAUAAGGAAAUUUAUGAUUGAUUUCUAAUAUGAAUAGUAAAUUUUAUGAAUUAAUUGUAUUUGAUCUAUAAACUCCAGUAAUGCUCUGUAACCUUGUUCUGGCGACGGAUAUGGGUUAGGGGUGUUACACAUUCUAAUAGAGACAGAGAUACCAGACACUCCGGUCCUAAACCUCAGGCUACAUCUGUAGCGAGUAUGGGUAGUGUUAGAAACACUAGACCCGAGUGCAAGCAUUGUAAAAGGCCACAGUAUAGUGAGUAUCGAAUGAAAAGUGGAGCGUGUUUUAGAUGUGGUUCCUUUGACAACUAUCUUAGAGAUUGCCCUGAGAAAUUCGAGAAAGAGAAAGUUCAGACUUCAGGACUGAGCAACACAGCUGCGAGAGGUAGACCACCUCAUAAUCCCAAAAAUGUGAGUGAUAGUCGUGGUGUGACAAAAGACUCUACUGUAAGAUCCGAGGCCCGAGCACCAGCUAGGGCUUAUGCUAUUCGCGCACGCAAGGAUUCUUCUGCGCUAGAUGUUAUUACCGGUAGUUUCUCUCUCUAUGAUAUUGAUGUAACUGCUUUGAUUGAUCCCGGAUUGACCUAUUCUUAUGUGUGCACAAAUUUAGUGUCUAGUAAGAAUUUACUUGUUGAGUCCACUGAAUUCGUGGUUAAAGUAUCGAACCCCCUAGGUCAAUAUCUACUAGUUAAUAAAGUUUGGAAGAAUUGUCCUUUGAUGACUCGGGGUAACAGUUUUCUGGAUGAUUUGAUGCUAUUACCGUUUGAUGAAUUCGAUGUGAUUUUGGGCAUGGAUUGGCUAACUCUGGAUGAUGCUAUGGUAAAUUGUAGACGAAAGCUUAUCAUAUUAAAAUGUUAUAACGGUGAGACGCUUCGUAUUGAAUCAGAUAAUUCGAGUUGGUCGUCUAUUGUGAUAUCAGCUAUAUCAGCGCAGAAAUAUGUGAGAAAAGGUUGCAAUGCUUACCUAGCAUAUGUACUGGAUACUAAAGUGUCAGAAUCGAAGCUUGAAUCAAUGUCAGUGGUUUGUGAGUAUCUCGAUGUGUUUCCAGAGGAGUUACCUGGAUUACCACCGGUCAGAGAAGUCAAAUUUUCUAUAGAACUUGUACUGAGAACAUCACUGAUACUGAUAGCACCUUAUAGAAUGGCUCCUACAGAGUUAAAAGAGUUGACAGAUAGGGGUUUUGCUCGACCCAGUUUUUCACCUUGGGGUGCACUGGUUCUAUUCGUUAAGAAAAAGGGCAGAUCAAUGAGAUUGUGUAUUGAUUAUUGUCAACUCAAAAAGGUUACAAUCAAGAACAAAUAUCCAUUGCCUUGAAUUGAAAAUUUGUUUGAUUAGUUGAAAGGAGCCACAGUAUUCUCAAAGAUUGAUCUCUAUUCCAGUUACUAUCAGCUACGAGUGAAAGAUUCAGAUGUGCCAAAAACUACAUUUAGAAUCAGGUACGGGCACUAUGAAUUUCUUGUGAUGUCGUUUGGUUGAACUAAUGCACCUGCAGUAUUUAUGAAUUUGAUGAACAAAAUCUGAUAUGAACUUGAUUAUGAUACGUAAUUGAGUCAUUGAAUGCCCGAUCAAUAAAUUAAGUAGUUUUUGUUUCGGUUUAACAAAAGGCUAUGUAAAAGGAAGAAGAUAGUUAAGACUACUAAUGGUAAUAAAGAUAUAAUGAUGGAAAGAUGGUAUAAUGAACUUAAAACAAGAAUGAACCCAUAAUAGAGAUUAAGGACCCGAUUCUUAUAAGUUUUAAGGUGGUUGAUGGAUAGCUAGAUAGGAUCGUGACCUACUAUCUAGCAAGAUAGGAACCAAACGGUAUAAGGAUCAACGCCACACUCAGAAAGUGAUAAGUUCAAGAAAGAAACAAGUUUGACGCCACUAGCUAACUAGAUAAGUCAAAUUGAAUCUAGAAGAACAAUGAGAGUGAACAACUCACAAAGUCUAUUAUAUUUCAUACAAUAUCAAAGUCAAGUAAGUAAGUAGGAAACCUCAAAAGGUUUACAAAGAAGCUAUUUAUAGGCUCUUAGGUAUCCAGCCGAAUAGCCACAAUUGAAUGCAAAUACAUGAAACUAAAUUGACUUAAUUUCCAGCUAAAAAAUCCAUUAAAUUGGCUUCAAUAAUCAGCUGUCCUUUGAGAUGCCCAAACAGUCUUAAGAAUGUGCUAUUUGGUGUGCAUGAAUAGCCUUUGAUAGGAAAUUUAAUGAUUGAGCUGAAAUGAGCUUUGUUCGGUUAAUGAAGUUAUGGCUGGAGUUAAUGUUUGAAGGUGCACCGAAUGAGAAAUCAGGUGGUGAGUGUAUUUGAUGGCAGCCGAAUGGCCCUUGGCUGUGAACACUCGAUUUUGGAGAGUCUUUAAGUGUGAACAUUAAGCACCAAAUGGUCUCUUGAAGUGUUAGCUGAUCAACUCACAAUUGUUGGCUAUGGAUUCAUGAACAAUCAGUUGAGUGAAUGCACCAAGCAACUCUUAAGAUACAUGCACAGUCGGGUGCAUGUUCUUCAUUAAAUUAGCUUCAUUGAAUCUAGAAAAUACAUGAAUGUCUAGCUGCAAACAACUCCCAAUGUACAUGCACAACCGGGUGCAUGCUCCACAUUAAUUAGCUUCAAUAAAUAGACAUUGUGCAUGAAUGUCCAGCUGCAUGCUUUAAUAACCUACUAAGACAAAUUAAACACUUGAUUGAACAGCAACACUGCAAAUUAAACACACAAAUAAAUAUGUAAUAGACUAAGACACAUUUAAGAAAUUUGACUUGCUAACAUGCAUUAAGUCUGUCUGAAUUUGAACAUUCUUAAUGGACAAACGUAUCUGAAGUCAGAAGUUUUCUUGGAUUAGCUGGCUACUACCGAAGAUUCGUCAAAAGGUUCUCAACGAUAGCUACACCGAUGACACAGUUAUUACAGAAAGAUGUGAAGUUUGAAUAGUCUGAUAAAUGUCAGCAAAGUUUUAACUAGUUGAAACAGUUGAAAGCACUGUUGACCGAAGCACCGGUUCUAGUUCAGCUUGAAUCGGGUAAAGAAUUCGUGAUUUUUAGUGAUGCAUCUUUAAAUAGUUUAGGCUGUGUCUUAAUGCAAUAAGGCAAAGUGAUAGCUUAUGCUUCCAGACAGUUAAAGCCGUACGAAAAGAACUAUUGACUCAUGAUUUAGAGUUAGCAGCUAUCGUGUUUGCAUUGAAAAUUUGGCAGCACCAUUUAUUCGAUGAAAAAUGUCACAUAUUUACCGAUUAUAAAAGUUUAAAUUAUUUAAUGUCGCAGAAAGAUCUAAAUCUGAGACAACGUAGAUGGCUCAAACUGUUGAAAGAUUAUGAGUUGAUCAUUGAUUAUCACCCAGGUAAAGCAAAUGUAGUUGCUAAUGCUUUGAGUAGAAAGUCCUUGUUUGCUCUGCGAAUGAUGAAUACCCUACUGUCAUUAACUAAUGAUGGCUCAGUCUUAGCCGAGUUAAAAGCUAAACUGAUGUUUUUAUGGCAGAUCUGCAAAGCUCAGAAAUGUGAUAUGGUUUGUUAGCUAAGCGGGUAUAGUGUGAGUCGACUUCUGAUUCAGAAUUUCAGAUAGGACCCGAUGAUUGUUUGUUAUUCAGAGGUAGAGUUUGUGUACCAAAGAAUCUAGAACUCAUUUAGAAAAUUUUUCAUGAAGCUCAUAGUAGUAGCUUGUCUGUUCGUACAGGGAGUAAUAAAAUGUACAGUGGUUUGAGACAGAUGUACUGGUGGCCGGGAAUGAAACACGAGAUUUUUGAAUUUGUAUCUAGAUGUUUGAUAUGUCAGCAAGUUAAAGCUAAACGUCAAGUACCUUCAGGACUAUUACAGCCAGUGAUGAUAUCGGAGUGGAAUUGGGAUAGAGUUACUAUGGAUAUUGUAUCGGGGUUACCCCUAUCUCUGAAAAAGAAAGAUGUCAUUUGGGUUAUCGUCGAUCGUUUGAUGAAGUCCGCAAAUUUUAUUCCGGUACGUAUAGAUUUCUCACUUGAAAAAUUAGUUGAGUUAUAUGUUUAGGAGAUUUUCAAGUUGCACGAAGUGCCAGUCUCCAUUAUUUCGGAUACAGAUACGCGGUUCAUAUCGCGAUUCUAGAGAAAGUUACAGGAAGCUCUGGGUACGCGGUUGCAUUUUAGCACUGCAUUUUACCCUUAGACCGAUGGUCAGUCCGAGAGAGUGAUUCAAAUUCUCGAAGAUAUGCUUCGUUGUUGUGUUUUAGAGUUCGAAGGCAAUUGGGAAAAAUAUUUGUUGUUAGUCAAACUUGCGUAUAAUAACAGUUUUCAAUCUAGCAUAAAAAUGGCACUGUAUGAGGCUCUAUAUGCGGAUCUUAAACGUAAAGAUAUAGAGUUCCAAGUCGACGACAGAGUAUUUUUGAAAGUUUUGACCUAGAAAAAAAUUCUUCGAUUUGAUCGCAAAGGGAAGCUAAGUCCACGAUUUAUCGGGCCGUAUGAAAUUACUAAAAGAAUCAGACCUGUGGCAUACCGAUUAGCUUUACCGUUAGAGCUUGAAAGGAUUCAUAAUGUCUUUUACGUGUCUAUGUUACAACAGUACCGAUCUGACACUUCACAUGUUAUCUUUCCAACGGAUGUCGAGAUUCAGCCUGAUAUGACAUACAGUGAAGAACCAAUCAGAAUUCUGGCACAAGAAGUGAAAGAAUUGAGAAAUAAAAACAUAGCUUUAGUAAAAGUUUUCUGACUGUGACACAGAAUAAAAUAAGCUACCUGGGAACCAGAGGAAGCUAUGAGAAACCAAUAUCAGAAUAAAAGAAGCUACCUGGGAACCCGAGGAAGCUAUGAGAAAUCAAUAUCCGAACCUCUUUUCUGGUAAGAUUUUCGGGGAUGAAAAUUCCUUUUGGGGGGAGAGUUGUAACAGCCCGUUUUUAGCGAAAUUGAAACAGUGGUUUCAGGACCACAAAAUAGUCUAUAGCACAAUAGAAAUAUCAUAUAAAAAUUUUGUUUAGAAAUUUUACCGUUUACAUGUUCAAUUUGAUAAAAAUGACUAAAUUGUGUAAAGUGCAAAAGUUGAGUUCUAAUAGCUAAAGGUAUUAAAUAGCUGUAGAACAUUAAUGUGGAGGUCCUUAUAUGGUAAUUAGCCAAUUAGUAUGUUAGUAGAUGAUAAUGGCUUGGCAAUUUUGUAAUUUGAAUUAAUUUUAAAGGUUAAUUAAGUAAUUAAUUAAUAAAUGAUAAGUUAAAAUUAAAUUAAAUUUUCUAUCAUCUUUCUCAAUCUUCUUCCACCAGUUUUCAAGAGGAAAUGAAGCCAUUUUCAUCCUUAAAAAUUGGUCAUCUUUAAUCCUUCAAUUAGGUAUGCAUUUUUGUCCCGUUUUUAAAGAUUUCUAUGUUUUCGAGAUCAUUGUAGCUUAAUCUAGCUAGCCUGGGGACUAAUUUGUGAAACUGUUAAAGUAUUAGGGUUUUUCCAUUAAUGAGCAUGCUUGCGCUUUGAAGUUUAAUGAAAGAAAAUGAAUUGUUGUUGUUAGAUAAACAACUUUUGUAAAGGAAUCUUUCGUAAAAUUGUCAAAUAGGGAUUAAAUUGGAAAAUAGAGAAUAUUAUGUGGUAAAAUUGUGAAUUUAUGAAAUACAUGGGCUGCUAUUAAUAUGUAUAAAAAUCGGUUAGACUUGGGUAAGGAUUAAAUUGUAUAAAUUUUAUUUUUUGAGACUAGGGACUAAAUUGUAAAGUAAUUAAAAGUAUAGGGUUAAAAUGGUAAUUUUGCAAAAAUACAUGUUGGACUAUAUUUUAUGUGAAUUAGAUUGAAUUGGGUUAAAUUCAUUAAAAUGGUAAUUUUGCAAAAAUACAUGAUGGACUAAAUUCUAUGUGAAUUAGAUUGAAUUGGGUUAAAUUAAUUCGUAUAGAUCCUAUUAGACCUCGUACGGAGUUAGAUCAAGGUAAAGAGAAAAUAUUAGAUUAGUCGCCUCCAUAUCUACGUACACUCGUCGAGGUAAGUUGGUAUAAUUAAAUUGUACACUUAUAUAUUUUAAAUUGAAUGAUAUGUUUGUAAAUUGUGUAAUUGCCACGAAUGAAUACUGAUCACAUAUCCGACGACGUACAAUGACUACUGAGCCUCGUUUGAACCUUAAGAAUUCGUGGGAUACAAAUUACAUGUCAUUAGGGUUAUUGAUUUCAGCUCAUAUGAGCUUACCGAUACUCAGCUCGCAUGAGCUUAUUGUUAUUCAUCUCGGAAGUGCUUAUCAUUAUUCAACUUGGAGGAGCUUACCAUUUACAGCUAGUAAAAACAUACCGAUUCAAAGCUCGUAUAAGCAUAAUGUACAGGAAUUGACGGAUUACAGUGCAGUACACCUCGUGUGUACUACCCACGUAUCCAAUGAUAUUCUACAUGGUUCAACGGGCACAGUUAUGUUACGAUAUUAUAUGAGUUCGAUAUGAACUAUUACAGGAAUUUACAUGAAAUACAUGAAAGUGAUGUUACAUGAUACAUUGAUAUAUGAAAUGAAUAAUUCAUCUAUAUGAAAUGUGAUAACUUGUUGAAUUCAUCUAUGUGUAUUUGAUUUUAUAUAUGAUUUACAUGGUUAAUAUGUUGAUGAACAUGUGUUUAGGCUUUUGGCCAAAUUGGUUGGGAUAUGUUAUGUUAGCUUACCUUAAUUGUGAUUUAAAAUGGUUAGUUAAAUUCUAAGUUAUACGAACUUACUAAGCUUAAAUUUUUACUCUGUGUUAUUUUCUGUGUUUUAUAGUGAUUCGGAAGCUCGUUCAGAUUGGAAGCUUGUCGGAGCUAUAUCACACUAUCCAUUGGCUCUUUUGGUACUUUUAGUUGGUUACAUUUUGGUUGUAAUGGCACGUAUAGGUUAUUUUGGCUAAUGUUAGCCUAUGUGUGAUGUUGUGUAUGUGGUCAUAUGCUUUGGCUUGUGUUUUGGUAUAUUUUGCUAUGUGUAUAUAUAAAUGGCCUUAUCAUAUUUGGUGUGUGGCUUGAUUUGUAUAGAAUGAUGAAAGGUAAAUGUUAGCUAAAUGUACAUUUUGUACAUGUGUUUGUGAUGUGAAGAAUUAGUGAUGAAUUGGUACCUUGAUAUGUAAGAUAUAUAUAUGUCUAAAUAUGUUAGUAUUUGAAAUGCAUUUUGGUAUCAAAUGGUAUGUUUUGGUAGAUAAAUGAAUUGGUAUGAAAGGAUGCAAAUUAGCUUGGUAAAUUGAUGGUUUAUUUGGUUAAAUUAUAUAUAUGAAAAUACAUGUUUGAAUAUUAUCAUUUGAGGUACCUAAGGGCAUAUUGGUUGUAUGUGAAAUAUUACAUGUUUAAGACUUGAUUUUGGCUUGUUUUGGAUGUCUUGUUAUGGCUUGUUGAUGUGCAUAAUAUUAAGUUUUGGUUGGUGCCAAAUUAGGUGAGAAAUGUGGCUUGGAAAAUGACCUAUUUUUGUCCAUAUGGGCAGAGACACGGGCGUGAGUCUCAGCCGUGUGUGACACACGGCCGUGGGACCGUGUCUCUACCUUGUGUGACACACGGCUAGGUGACACAGCCGUGUGUCCCCUAUAGCUGCUUAAGGGUACAAGUCAGUAUGCUUACACGGCUUAGCACACGGGCAUGUGGCUUGGCCUUGUGACCCAAGUCAGUGAGUUACACAGGCACGGACACGAGGUGGGACACGGAUGUGGGUCCCUAUUUCGAAUGUCCACACGGCCUAAGACACGGGCGUGUCUCUUGGUCGUGUGAGUCAUACGGCUUGGCCACACGACCGUGUGACCCCUACAGCUUUGAAAAUUUUAAAUGUUUUCGAAAUAUUUUCUGAGUUUCGGAUUUAGUCCCGAUUUGUUUCUAAUGCGUAAUUUGAGCCUCGAGAGCUUGUAUAAGGGACAGUAUGUAUGAUUUCAAUUAGUUUCUGACAUAAAUAUUUUAUGAUAUGAAAUGUUUGAAAUUCUGUCUAUUUGAUCUGUAAACUCCGGUAAUACUCUGAAACCCUAUUUUGACGAUGGAUACAGGUUAGGGGUGUUACAUGCGUUAUAAACACAUCGUUGGUAAAAUAGGAUAUGCGACACUCAAUGCAAAAUUUGUAAGUAUUACAUGUUAAUCGACAUGUAACCUAUAUUAAUUUUUUUGCGCUCAUUUGUGAAUAUUGUUAAUAACUAUUUGUAACACCCCUAACCCCCAUCGUUGAGUUAGGGUCACGAGCAUUAGUAACCAAUCGAAACAUUUUAUUACAACAUAAGCCAAAGUGCAAGCCAACUAAUAACAUUCAUAUUACGCAGAGAGUAAUUCAUGCUAAUAUAAUAUUUCCGUAUUGUUAUCUUAUAGGAUCCAGUAAUGAGACAUACUAUGCAAUACUAAACUUGGUCUUGCACUAUCUAUACUCUUAUCACUAUUUAUCCUUUCUUGAAAGCUAGAAGUUGGAUACAUAACAAGACUAUUCCAAUUAUUAGCAUCAGAGUACUGAACCAUACUCCUACUACUACUACCUUCGGUGAUAUUAGUAGAAUGACCUACUUCACCUAGCUUAGGUUUGCUAAUUCAUUCAAAAUCGAAGUAAAAAUACUCUUACAAUCCUUAUCACGAGGCUACGGGACCCUAUACAUAGUUUAAAAACAAACAGGGACUAAUUUAAAGUAAAUAUGAAAGUUUAGGGAGAGAUCUCAAAAAUUUUAAAAAUAAGGGUCACACGGUCGUGUGAUACGCCCCAAACCAUGUGACUUUCGAAGUUGGGACACAAGGUCGUGUCCCAGCUCAUGUCUCUACCCGUGUAACUCAUUGAUUUAGGUCACACGGCCAAGUGCCAAACCAUGUGGCUCUUGACAUGGGCAUGUCACUAUCCUACACUCCAGUGUGUGUUUUCACACGCCCGUGUGCCUAGGCCGUGUACCUCUCGAAAUGAUUUCACAAAGCCAUGUCACAAGCCAUGUGUUAGCCUGUGUGGGAACUGCACCUAUACUGCUUUACAACACGUUCAGGGCAAAUGCCCGAGUGUGACACACGGUCAUGCGACAGACCGUGUCCCAGGCCAUGUGUACCUAAAUGUACCUUAAAACUCGAGUUUACCAAAAUGUGAUUACUUGGACACUAAGCAACCAAUUCACCAACCAUUUAACCAAUUCAAAAUACAAUUAAACAUGCUAAAAAUAUGCCAAAAUAUCCAUCUUAAGUGUCUAACCAAUAUACCCUCAUUGGUACCACAUUUUAUAUCUUCAAACAUAUUAACAAGCAUCAACUAUUCACAACUUUCAUUCAUACCAAAUUUUCCAUAAUUGAACUAACAUUUAGCUACUUAGGCUACCAAGCUUUAAGCUAAACACAUACCAAAACAUUAAGCUAAGUUAUCAUACCAAGCAUAGCCUCAACCACAACCAUAUAUACAAAUAACCAUUAUUUCACUAGAAAACCAAAAUAUCAUCACAUUAUAAACAACAUCAACCAAAAGACCUCCAAGGUACAUGCCAUUAAAAAAGAAAACAUCACCACACUUGAGUCUGAGUUCGUUGUUGGAUGUUGAGUCGGUGGUAAACUAAAAAGUACCUAACCUGUGCAGGAAAACAAAACCAUACACUGAGAUUAAAGUUGUGAGUUAAGGGUGACCUUUAUGUUUGUAGCGUGUCGAGAGAGUGUUAGGAUAUGAAAAUAGUGCUAACCCAUUUGUUAGCAACCAAUUAAGAUUAGAAUCGCUUAUCAUACACUACAUUCCAUUGGUCACUACUCUAUCAUCCAUUCAAAAGUACUUUGAGAUCUUAGCAAUAUUAUUCACUCAUUAGUUCAUCGGUUGCUCUAAUAGUUACACGAGUACUUCAUUGGUAAUUCCAAGAAUUAUUUAUAUGCAAGUGUCUAUUUAUUCAACUAUGAUUUAUAAUUUUUCAACUUUAUUUCCAUAGGAACAAUCCUCAAAGUGUUUACCUUUAUGAGUGUUAUGUUAAUUUUAUUACUAUUAUGAUUUUGUCAUGCUUACAAAUUGCUUUUGUUUUUAGUAGUGUACUAGAUGGGCCAUCAUUUACAUAGAAUCAAAAUAAAUCAGACACUUGUGCAUGUUUGUAAUUAUCAAUAUGCAAUCUCAUCAAUGUGUAAUGCACAUGAUCAAUUAAUUAAGUACAUUGAUUAUUUCAUUCUCCACUAAUCUGGUUCCGUUAUGCAUUUUAAAUCAUUUAAGUUUUUUCCGCUUAUAAUGUAAGGCUAAGGAAAAAGUAGGAUAAAAAGUUGUUUAGGCUCGAAUUCCGAGUAUUAGCCACUUAUAGAUCAAAUAAGAGCUAAUGAUAUUCUCCAUUUUCCCAAAUUGAGCACUCAAUUCAUUUUCAAUUCUACCUUUUUUUCACUCACCUUCUGGUCUAUCCAGUACUUAAUAUAAAAGCAUGAAUACAAAAUAAGUAUACAAGGACAAUAAACACUUCUCGUUUUAUUUUUCAAUACCUUUUUCUCCUUUUUCUUUUUUAUCAAAUAAAAUAACAACUACAAAUAAAAAAGAAACCAAAGAUAAAAUUCAUGCUUUACUUUCUCUCACUACAACGCCCACUUUAAUAUAUCUAUAUAAAAAUAAUUCCAAUAAACAUUAAAUACUUGAGAUAAAAAUAUAGGAGUCGAGAAAAGUUAAGUAUUAAGGGGAUGUUUGGUUGAAGGUAAUGGCUAUGCCAUUACAAGCUUAUUACAAGCCUAUUCUGCAGGCUCAUAUAAACAGAUGUUUAGUUGAAUGGAAUACCCUAUUACGAGUGUAUUCUAUUACGGGCUUAAGUAGAGAUAUUUGGGGAUUUCUAUUCCCUUCCCUCUUCACCGUUUACCCAUUCGUUGCUUGAAGAACCCUAAUUUACCCUCACCAAUUUCUCACCUCAAAAACACUCAAACGGUAGCCAUUUCUUGCUUCCUUCGACUCCGGCAUUCCACCCCUUAUCCAAGGUCAGGUAAACAUUUUUCCUUCUGUUGUUCCUUUCAUUUUCCUGUCUGUCUUUUUUUUCUUACCCAAGUUGUGUGCCGAGCUAAGUAACGAGAGCUUAUAACCCAAGUUGGGGGCAUUAAGGUGGCUUGGGACGAGAGAGAAUCGAACAAUCAGUCGGCUUGGGACUGGGUUGAGUGGGCCCUUGCUAGCUCAGUGUGUGAGAAGGAGGUGAAAUUUCAGACCUGGCCUGAAAUUGAAACACUCUGUAAGGAAGUUGAACCAUAAGACGUUACAGUAGUAGGCUAAUCCUUGGCUUAAGAAGCUAAAAGGAAAAAGCAAUGUUGGCUUGUUAGAGCAGCAAAUGACCCCAUGUCUAAGGUAGCAACAAGUAGGGGUGUGCAUAAUUCAGGUAAAACCGAAAAAAUUUGGUUAACUGACCGAAUUCAGUUAAUCAGCCGAUUAACUGAAUUUUUUCGAUCGGGGGUUGGUUAGUUUUUUUAUAAUUUUUCGGUUAACGGUUAAUUCGGUUUGAAAUCGGUCGGUUAACUGAAUUUUUCGGCUAACCGAAAAAACUAAUAAAUAAAAUUAUCCAACCCAACCCAAUUACCCAACCCAAUAAAACUAAAAUUAAAGUCUACCCAAUUACCCAACCCAAUAAAACUAAAACUAAAGUCUACCCAAUUACCAACCCAAUAAAAAUAAAACUAAAGUCUAACUCUAAGUAUCUACCCAAUUACACAUGUUUUUUUUUUAGGUUUAAUGCAAAUGGAGAUUUUUUGAAGAGAAGAAAUGGAUAUAAAUGGAAAAUAUUAAAGUCUGACAUUUCAAUUAUGUGUUAAUUUCAAGAAUGAUGUAAUGUUUUUAAUUAUAUAAUGAUUCAAAUACUUAUGUAAUGUUUUUAAUUAUGUAGUGAUUCAAUUCGGGUAAUUCAGUUAAUUCGAGUAAUUCAGUUAAUUCGGUUAAUUCAGUUAAUUCAGUUAAUUCAGUUAAUUUUUAACCAAAAAUAAAAACCAUACAAUUUUAGGUUAAUUUGGUUAACCGACCUAAUUAACCGAAAAAAUUUCGGUUUGGUUAAUGUUUUUUAAAAAAAUUCAGUUCGGUUAACAGUUAAAAAUUUUGAAAGGUCGGUUAAUUCGGUUAUAGCUAUUUUAGGUCGGUUAAUCGAAUGCACAACCCUAGCAACAAGAAGGGGAAAAAUAAAUUAAUUUCAAUAAAAUGGUGCUUUCGUGUGUUCAUGACAGACGAAAAGAUUAAUCAUCCUAUUCAAUUUUAGUAUAUGGUUCAUAUUUUGUUCUCAUAUUCAAUAAAACGGUGCUUCUAGUAUAGACCAACCUAGUUUCUUAUUUCAUUUUGCUCUAUAGGCCAUAUUGGAGAUGCUACUUUCCAAAUACUCUGACUAUAUAAUCUAUGUUGUUGAUUCAAGUGACACAGAUAGGUUGGUGAUAGCUAAAGAAGAAUUUCUUGCAAUCUUGGAGGUAAACCCAUCAAGAUGUAUUUUACUAGUUUUCAUCUUUCUUAAAAACUUCCUAAAACCUUGCUAUAGUAUAUCUUAUAAAUAUUCCAUGCAUUGAAGAUGAUAUAUAGAUUACUUUGCAGGCGGUAACAUUGAUCUCAUGGUCCACUGUAGUAACAUUUGUAUUUUAGAAGUUUGAUAAAAAGAAAGAAUGCUACAUGAAAACCUUCUUUCUGCUCCCUAGAAUGUGAUGAUGACUUGUUUAUAUGUCUGUAACCAACAAUGCUUACUUGGUGUUUACAAUAUCCUACUUCAUUUGUCAAUGCUUGUUUUAUGUAUUUCAUUAAUGCUUCUUCUGGAUGAGUUUCAAGUGUGAAUCUUUUACAGGAAGAGGAGCUGAGAGGAGCAGCAGUUCUUAUUUUUGCAAAUAAGCAUGUUCUUACAUUACCUUUUUCUUGUUCAAGUAUCGUGAAACUUUUUUCUUCAUCUUAUUUUAGCCAAUUGGCAUUGCGCAAGAGCUGAUCAUGUGCAUAUUCUUGGUUUAUACAGGAUCUUCUAGGUGCACUUGAUGAUGCUGCAGUUACAGAGUCUUUGGAGUUACACAAGAUAAAAAACCGACAAUGGGCUAUUUUUAAAACUUCAGCAAUAAAAGGGGAAAGUCUUCUUGAAGGCUUAGAUUGGUAAGUUUCAUGUCUUACAUGUAAUUCAUGUUAUCCUUGAAUAUACUUGGCAAAAUUGCCUUGCAGCCUAUGCUAUGAUGAGAUUCAUUGCAUGUAUUUAUAAGUAAGAACUUCAAAGUGAUUUAAGCCCAUUUUCUAUGCAUCUUUCAACAGUGGAAACUAGUUUUAAAGUAAAUCUAUCCACUCCUUAAACAAAUCAUCUUUUAAGUGGUAGAAGCUGAGUCAUUUGUUUAUGCACAUCGAGUCGUUCAUCAUCAAAGUAAGGGAUCUAUGAACCUAUUUGAUCAUCCUCUGUAACUCCGAAAGGAAAUUAGUUUAUUGGUCAUCAUUGUAGGUUGAAGGUAGCAACAAGAAGGGGGAAAAUAUCACUCAAGGGUGUGCUAAGGUAACAAUACCCUCUUAAUGUCUUUGCUAUAAGUUGGUUAUGUGUUCAACUUUGGAAAGAUGAAAUUUGUUAAUGGAAAGGAGGCUGCCAAGGUAAAGAGCAGCACACCCUCAUAGGCUGCCAAAUGACAAGAGUCAACAACAACAAAAAAAUGAACAAGGAAAAGGGACAUAAACAAAUAUCUCCACUGGAAUAAUGAUACCAUUACUCUUUUCUAGUAAUACGGGAAAGACGAUAUAUACAUGUUAAACUACAUUUACAAUUCAGAUUUGAUCUUUUUACUUUAAACAAGAACAUUUUGGUUAUAUUUAAUUUUUGAUAUGUUUUUAUUUUUGAUAUGUUUCAUUUAAAACUAUUUUAAUCUUCUAAUAUAUUAUUAAACUAUUUUUAUUUUCGAUAUCUUUAAUUUAUGUUAUAUUUAAUUUUGGUCUUCAAACAAUGUUUUAUAUUACUUAUAUUGUUUGAUUAAAAAUUAUAAUUAACACUACAAAAAUUAUCUCAACAAACGAAACAAAAAAAAAGUAAAAUGCUACAAACAAAUCAUGUUAUGGUAAGAAUGUAAUGUAUAUGGAGUUUUAGAUUUUAUUUAAAUAAAAAUAAUAAUCGAAUAUUUUAAAGUACAUAAUUUUUAAGAUAUUUAACACACUAUAUGCCUAUAAUCGAAUUGAGUUAAUACAAAAUAAAAGAAAUUAAGACCUUAUUUUCUUUUCUCAUAAAAAUUAUUAAAUUCAUAUUAUUUUUUUUCCUUUUACUAAUUUUAACUAUUCAAACAAAAUAAUAAAUAUUUUUCUAUUCACAAUUAUUAAUUCAAAUAAAACAUUAGCAGGAUAAUACUCAGAAUAAAUACAUAAUUAAUACAUAAAAAUACGUUAUUCUAGAGUGUUAUCAAAUCCCCCCUACUUAGCCCAUGCUUGCCCUCAAGUAUGGUUCUUAUCGACUGUGAAAGUUAGAUUCUACCAUAAAAGAAAUACAACUUUCAAAGUUUUAUAGAAAUCAGUCAAAAAUGCAUAUGAAAAAUAAAGAAAAACUUAAGCUUGCUUUAAGUAAAAUAGAAAAAGUUUUCCAAUUAAUACACACAAAAAUUAGAAUCGACUUGAAUUAUUUAAUGAAAAUUAGGUAAAUUACUAAACCUACCUAUACACCCUAUUUGUUUCCUCCUUUAGUCCCCAAAUUAUUAUUAUUUUUCUUUUUUUUCUUUUUUUUGCUUUAGGAAUAUACUGAACCUUUUGACGCGAAGAGAGAUGACAGCCAAGCACCCCACCCUGGUUACUCAGCCCAGCAGACUCCUAAUUUAUUAUAUUUUUUUCUUAAGAACAUAUCGAACCUUUUGACGGGAAGAGAGAUGACAGCCAAGCACCCCACCCCGGUUACUCAGCCCAAUAUGUUCUUAAAGAUUAAUUCCGGUUAGGGGAGUUUUAUCUAACACGUCACACAACCUUUUGACGCGAAAUAGGAUGACAACCCAAGCACCCUACCCCGGUUACUCAGUCAGUCACGUUUUUAAGCUGCACUCAUAACCACGGAAAUAUUAAAUGACAUUAAUAAUAAUAACUUUUUUUAUGAGGACUUUAGAGGAAAAUAAUAAUAAUCAAGUGUCGAAAAUAAGUUUCAGUAAUUACCUUAAUAGUCAUCAACAUAUUUUAGCAUGCAACAUAUUAAGUGUCCACUUUGUAUUUAAACUUGAUCAAUUUUACGAAAAGCAAGAUAAAGUUAAAUUUAUGAAUCACAAUUAUUUUUAGUCUAAUAAGAAUAAAACAGUGGAGAUGGCAUCAAUUAUGAAAAAAUUCGUAAUUUUCUCAGAAAAUAAGAAUCAUGCUUGUAGGUCAAACAGUAGGCAACUCUUGGUAAAAAUAUUGGGCAUGAAAAAAAGCAGGAGAUUCCAAAUAAAUAUGGACAUAAUAAAGCCUCAAGUAGCAACACCAGCCAAAAAUAAUCACAGCAACAGCAACACUAACCAAAAUCAUAGCAGAAAAUUAUAGUAAUAACGAAGAGUACCUCCCCCUACUGAAAGCACAUUGUCCUCAAUGUGGACGAAAAGAAAUAAAUAGGUAAAAAAGUUUAGAAAAACUCCCCGUGUGAUCACAAAUGAUGGCAAUUAGCUUGGUCAGUUGCUGGCCAAAGGUUUCAAGUCAAGCCUCAAUGCGCUUUAAGUGUUGCUUAACGGUUUGCUUCAUUUUUUUUAAGCAAAAGAAGAAAAAUUGAUUAAUAUCCAAAUAAGUAAUAAAUAAUAAAGAAAAUAAAGUAAAGAAAAAUAAUAAUAAAUAAUAAUAAAUAAAAAUAAAAAUUAGGUUGCCUCCCAACAAGCGCUUGUUUAACGUCGCUAGCUCAACGCCGUUAUUGGUUCUAUGGUGAUUCCAAAUGAAUUUCCUCAACCGUGUGGGCUUGAAAAUUCUCAUAAAAUGGCUUCAAUCGCUGGCCAUUGACUACGAACUGCUUUCCAGAUUCCUCACUCUCUAUUUCAACCGCUCCAUGUGUGAACACUUUAGUAACAAUGAAUGGUCCUUGCCAUCGUGAUCGAAGCUUACCUGGGAAUAACUUUAACACGGAGUUAUAAAGUAAAACUUUUUGUCCUACCGAAAAAUGCUUCUGAGCAAUUCUCUUAUCGUGAAACAACUUUGUCUUGUCUUUAUAAAUGUGAGCAUUUUCGUAGGCCUCAUUACGAAUUUCUUCUAAUUCUUGGAUGUCUAAUUUCCUUGCCUUUCCUGCAGGUUCUAACUCCAUGUUACACUGUCGAAUGGCCCAAUAAGCUUUAUGUUCCAAUUCGACUGGAAGGUGGCUGGCUUUACCAAAAACAAGUCGAUACAGGGUCAUACCAAUCGGUCCUUUAUACGCAGUCCUAUAGGCCCAAAGUGCAUCAUUUAGCCGAAGGCUCCAAUCCUUUCGGUUAGGACGAACUGUUUUCUCCAAAAUAGUCUUGAUUUCCCUGUUUGAGACCUCGGCUUGACCGUUCGUUUGGGGAUGGUAAGCCAUAGCUAUACGGUGGUGGACUCCAUAUUUUGCCAACAAUGCCUCCAUGACCUUAUUACAAAAGUGGGUGCCACGAUCACUGAUUAGGGCUCGAGGUGUGCCAAACCUGGAAAAAAUAGUUUGUUUUAAAAACUCCAUAGCAGUUUUGGCAUUAUCAUUAUGAGUAGGCUUUGCUUCUAUCCACUUAGAAACAUAGUCUACUGCAAGAAUUAUGUAUACAUUGCUAAAUGAAGAAAUAAAUGGGCCCAUGAAAUCGAUACCCCAUACAUCAAAGAUUUCGCAUACAUGAAUCAGGGAAAAGGGCAUUUGAUUUCGUUUAGUGAUGUUACCUGCAUGUUGGCACCUAUCGCAAGACUUACAGAAGUUAUAUGCGUCUCGAAAAAUUGUGGGCCAAUAUAGCCCACAUUCUAACACCUUAUGAGUGGUCCGCUUAGGGCCAAAGUGACCUCCGCAAGCUUCAGCAUGACAAAAAUUAAGGAUAGAAGUUACCUCAGUUUCUGGAACACAUCUUCGUAUUAUCUGGUUUGAACAGUGUUUCCACAAAUAUGGGUCAUCCCAAAUGUAAUAUCGAGCGUUGCGUCUGAGCUUGUCCCUCACGGAACGUGCUAACUCAGUGGGUAAUGAUCCUGUGGCUAGAAAGUUUACUAUAUCUGUAUACCAUGGGAGACGUACCUCGAUCGAGAAUAGGCUCUCAUCAGGGAAUUCUUCCUUAAUAGGGAUGUCGUCAAAAGGUACUUUUAUUCUGCUUAAGUGGUCAGCCACUAAAUUCUCGCAUCCUCUUUUGUCUCGAAUCUCAAUGUCAAAUUCUUGGAGCAGCAAAAUCCACCUAAUGAGCCUCGGUUUUGCUUCUUUCUUCGCGAUCAAAUACCUGAGAGCUGCAUGAUCAGAAAAAAUAAUCACUUUAGUUCCCAAUAAAUAAGGUCGAAAUUUAUCUAAAGCAAAUACAACGGCUAAGAGUUCUUUUUCCGUAGUGGUGUAGUUGCUCUGUGCAGCAUCUAGGGUUUUCGAGGCAUAACAUAUGACAUGUGGUUCUUUGUCUAUCCUUUGCCCCAACACGGCUCUUACAUUGCGCUCGUUGGCGUCGCACAUAAUUUCAAAUGGGUAUUUCCAAUCUGGUGUUGUACUAUAGGAGCGGAGACUAACUUUUGUUUGAGUGUAUCAAAUGCCUCCUUACAUUUUGGGCCAAACUCAAAUUUCUUAUCCUUCUGCAAAAACUCACACAGUGGUUCAGCUACCUUCGAGAAGUUUUUUAUGAAGCGCCUGUAAAACCCUGCAUGGCCAAGAAAAGAACGAAUUUCCCUCACAGUGGAGGGAUAAUGCAAAGAAUUUAUAAUAUCAAUUUUGGCCUUAUCGACCUCAAUUCCUUUAGAUGAAACAACAUGACCUAGAAUUAAACCCUUGUCUAUCAUAAAAUGACACUUUUCAUAAUUCAAGACAAGAUUAAAUUCUAUGCACCUACUCAAAAUUAUCGUUAGGUUUUUAAGGCAUUCAUCAAAACAACUCCCAUAUACAGUAAAAUCAUCCAUAAAAACUUCGAUAAUUUUUUCCAUAUAUUCAGAAAAUAGACUCAUCAUACAUCUUUGGAAGGUGGCUGGCACAUUGCAAAGACCAAAUGGUAUCCUUCUAUAUGCAAAUGUACCGAAUGGACAUGUAAAAGUGGUCUUUUCUUGGUCCUCCGGUGCGACUGGAAUUUGAAAGAAACCUGAGUAUCCAUCAAGACAACAAAAAUGAGUUUUUCUGGCUAAUCUUUCAAGCAUUUGAUCUAUAAAAGGAAGAGGGAAAUGAUCUUUUCUAGUGUAAGAAUUCAACUUCCUGUAAUCAAUGCAGACGCGCCACCCAUUUUGUACUCGGGUAGGUACCAAGUCACCUUCAGCAUUUUUCUUUAUUGUCACACCUGUUUUCUUGGGCACGACCUGAACCAGACUUACCCACCUACUGUCAGAAAUAGGGUAAAUUACGUCAGGGUCUAAAAGCUUAAUUAUUUCCUUUUUUACUACUUCCAUCAUAUUCGGAUUUAGCCGUCUUUGCGCCUCUCGCCUCGGCUUCAUGUCUUCCUCCAAGUAGAUCCUGUGUGUGCAUGUCAAAGGGCUUAUCCCUUUUAAGUCUGCAAUGGUCCAGCCAAUCGUCUCCUUAUGACUUUGUAGUAUAUGAACCAAACUUUCCUCUUCAUGUGUGGAGAGUCUAUUGGAGAUUAUGACUGGUAGGGUAUUACCCUUCCCCAAAAAUGCAUAUUUCAGAUGCUCAGGAAGUGGUUUCAACUCCAACUCUGGUGCCUGUAUAACAGAAGGUAACAGUUUAGUAUUUGGAGAUAAUAACUCAUUAACAAAUUCAAUUUCAUCAAGUUCAGACUCAUCUCCAUAAAUUGACUCAUAAUUUUCUUCUACCAAAGAGUCAAUUAUGUCGAUACGGUUUACACUCAAGGUUUCGCUUGGAUGGCUAAUGGCGUCGUAGACAUUAAAUUUUACAAUCUCCCCAUCAAACUCCAUCGUAAGAGUUCCACUUUGAACAUUAAUUUUAGUACUAGCUGUACUAAGGAACGGUCGACCCAACAGGAGAUCUGAAGAUCCAGGAGUGAUAUCCUUCUCCAUUUUGAUCACAUAAAAAUCUGCAGGGAAAAUAAGCUCGUUAAUUUUUACCAGAACAUCCUCGAGGACUCCUUCUGGGUGCACAACAAACCUGUCCGCCAAUUGAAUGAUAACACCUGUUUUUGUUAAAAAAACCCGCAUUAAGUGAUUCAUAAAUAGAAUAUGGCAUUACAUUUAUAGAAGCCCCUAGAUCACACAUAGCCUUCUUAAUUUCCAGAUGGCCUAUUUUGCAUGGUAUUGCAAACAUGCCCCUAUCUUUGCAUUUUGCUGGCAUUUUUCAUUGUAACACUACGGAUACAUUCUCACCAACAUUCACCCUUUCAUUACCUGUCAAUUUUCGCUUGUUAGUGCAAAGCUCUUUAAGAAAUUUAGCAUACCGUGGUAUUUGCUUGAUGGCGUCCAACAGCGGAAUAUUGAUCUCGACAUUCCUAAAUGUUUCAAGAAUUUUCUUGUCCUCUUUACCUCUUCGACACUGGUUGAAUCGUUCUGGAAAUGGAGGUUGAGUUUUAGGCAAUGGAGGCUUCGGUCGGACCUGUUCAUCUUUCUCGGGUUUUUCCUGGGCGAUUUCUUGGGCAAGAUUCCUAUCAGGAAUCGAUUCCAGUACCUUUCCACUUCGCAACAUCACUGCAUUUGCAUUUUGUCUAGGGUUUGGUUCUGUUUGUGACGGCAGCUUCCCUUGAGAGGUCAAUUUCUCGAUCGAUGUGGUCAACUCUCUUAUGGACACCUCGGUUUUCUGUUGGAAAUCUUUCGUCUCUUUUUGGAAAUUAAGAGUUUGCUGUUGAAAAUCAAGAAAAUUAGCUGCUAACUUAUUGACCAUGGUUUCUAGAAAAUUACCUGAACCUUGUGGUUGUUGCGGAAACCGAUUUUGGUAUGGCUGGUUAUUUCGUGGAUUGGCCCCAUAGCUUAAGUUAGGAUGGUCCCUCCAUCCUGGGUUGUAGGUAUUAGCGUAGGGGUCGUACUGCCUUUGUGGUGGCCCAGGAAAAUUUCCAACAGCAUCCAGAUGGGCCGUGGUAUCAUCAUACAAACUGGGACAUGCAUCAGUUUCGUGAUCAGGUGUAGCACAUAUUCCGCAUAAUCGAGCUGUCUUCGUUUUUUCUGCAAUAAGAGAAUUCAUCAUAUUAGUAAGUUUAUCAACUUUAUCCUCUAAGGUUGAAUUACUUAGCUGGUGAACCCUUCUAGGGAGUUCAGUAUUGGCUCGGAACUGCUGAGAAUUUGCAGCCAUCGUGGAGAUCAAGUCUCUCGCUUGUUGGGGAGUCAUGUUGACCAAUGCUCCUCCACUAGCAGCGUCUACCAUAUUCAUCUCCAUGGGCUUCAAACCUUCGUAAAAGUAUUGGAGGAGAGAUUGCUCUGUUAUACCAUGUUGUGGACAGCUUGCACACAACUUUUUAAAUCGCUCCCAAUAAUCGUAAAGGGACUCAACUUCUUUUUGUCUUAUUCUAACGAUCUCUCUUCUUAGCUCAGCUGCCCGAGAUGCUGGAAAUAACCUAUUCAGAAACAAACGAGAUAGAUCAGCCCAAGUUGUAAUAGAUCCAGGGGGUAAAUAAAAUAACCAUUCCUUAGCAGAAUCUGCUAGGGAGAAAGGGAAAGCACACAAUUUAAUCUGAUCCUCAGUUACCCCCUGAGGUUUCAUGCUAAGACAAACCAUAUGAAAUUCUUUCAGAUGCUUGUGGGGAUUUUCAUUUUGCAACCCACGAUAAGUUGGCAGUAAUUGGAUUAAACCUGACUUCAACUCAAAAUCAGUAUCAAUAGUAGGAAACACGAUGCACAAUGGCGGUUGUUCUGUCGGAGCUUCGGCCAGUUGCUGAAUCGUUUGAGCCAUUGGUUGGUGUGUUAGAUUUGGGUUUUCGUUAACCCUAGUGUUAAGCACUUCUUCUGGUGAGUCGACUUCUACUUUUUCGCUUUCAAGUGUUCGAGUAGGGUUUUCGUUAACCUUAGACUCAGCUUCGUCGCCGACUUCGAUUUCUGGCAGCGAGUUACUUUGAGUUCCAACCACCGCUGACUGCUUUUUCCGUAACUUUGUCUCUUUGCGGUUGGCUCUAGCAGUCUUUUCAAUUUCUGAGUCGAACGCAAGAGUACCUGGAGCAGAUCUGGUCAUAAGAAACAAAAAAAAGCAAGAUUAGUACGUUACCAGUCCCCGGCAACGGCGCCAAAAUUUGAUGCGGUCGUUGAAAGCACCAAAAAUAUCCUAUCCCUAAUAAAUAAUGAAAAAGAAUAGUAAAAGGGAAGUAGGGUCAAAUCCUCAGGGACUGGACUUGCAAAAUAUCUUGUUCCGUGAAAUCUCAGGCAGAGUCUUGCCCAAGACAAUUUGCGUGCCUGAAAAAAAUAAAAUAAAAAAAUAACAUAAUUAAAUGUUUGGAUUUGAAAACGAAAAAAUAAAAUAAAAAUAGAAUUAAGAUUAUUGAAUUUAAAAUUAGAGAAAUUAAAAAUAGAGUUAAGAGAAAGAAAAUUCUUAUGGGAGAUUCCAGCAUUCAGUUGUCUCGUUCCGCCUUGGGUUCAAUCCUCGGCUUUUAGAUGAUCCUUCCCAAAACCGAAUAAGCCAGUUAUAGUGGAAGAGGACGCCUACAACCACCAGCUCCAAUGAUUUAGACUUACAAUUUAGUGGAACCUGACUCUAGCCAACAAUCGCUUCUGUGGGAUCGUCUUAUGCUAGAUCAACGCUUCUCAAUGGCGAAUCCCACGCCAUUUUGUCUCUUGGGCUCGCCAACCUCUGAUGCAGUAAGCUAACGAACCGACUGUGUAACCUUCCCAAAACAUACAAAGCGGUCGUCUUUGCAUACAUUGAAAAACUUACUUCUUAAGGGACUUGGACGGAAGCGUCAGCCCCGUAGUGUGGAGAAACGAUGAAUACUCAGCGAGGAGGCUAAGUACGGAUUCUAAGCCUCAUGAACCCUUUUGGGGAUUUUUGACAACUUUCGGCUAGAUGAGUUUAGUGGCUCAUGAUUGUGGUAGAAAAGAAAAUAAAUAAAUAAAAAUAAAUAUUUUAUUAAAAAGAAAUAUGAGAAGAACAAAAGCCUAAACUUUUGAGGAGAGAGUGUUUUCAGAAAAAGAUGGAUGGGAUCCCCUUUUGAGUCACUUCACCCCCUAUUUAUAGUGCUAGGGGAGAUAUUCUAAUCCUACUUAAAUUCCUAAAAGAUAAAUACAUUUAAUUGAAGAUAAAUAAAGAUAAAAUAAAAUCCUAAAAAUAAUCCUUAAUAAUUAUCUCAAUAUUUAUCCUAAUAUAAUUAAAAUAGAGUUUAAUAGAAUAAAAUCUCUUCUUUUUGCAUUUCAACCCUUGUGUCCUCCAUGCUUGCACUUUUGGCACCAACUUUUCCUUGUGCCGCACAUUGGCCCAUUUUAUCUCUAAAUUCACGCUUUUGGCCCUUAAUUUCACUUUGGCCUCAAAUUUAGUCCCUAUGAGAUAAAAGAUCAUAAAUAGCUCAAAUUAGCAGGAUAAUACUCAGAAUAAAUACAUAAUUAAUACAUAAAAAUACGUUAUUCUAGAGUGUUAUCAUUAAUUACAAUGUGAGGAUGAAUACAAACUUUUUAAAAGGUAAAUUAAAGAUCGAAUAUUUUAAAAAAUUUCAUAUAAUAUAUGUAUAUUUCUGUAGAACUGGAAACUAUGUUAUUUGGAUGUGGAUGUAUUAAAUGGGUUUUUUUAAAUAAUUAUUAAAUGUCAGUCAUCAAUUAAUCAAAUCCACAAAAACACAUUCUUUUCUUUUCUUUCUUUUUUUUUCUUUUUUGAGUGAUUGAUAAAGAAAUGAAUUUCAAGUUUUUUACUUGCAAAGAUAGUUGUAAUUUCUACUUUGUGCUUUGUAAAUAUUCUUAAUAUGUAUUGUUCAUUUUUCUUUGAUAGUGUGUUAUUGCUUCCUCUUCUUCUUUGGCUUGUUUGAUUGUUUCCUCCACCCACAGUUGAGCGUCUUGUAUUCACUGAAUCACUAUAAGUUCUUUGGAAAUUAAAUUCUUUGAUUUUAUUUUACUGUUAUUGAAAUUAGUAUUGGAGAAAUGUGACCCUUUUACUACGAUUUGAAGAUAUGUAACACUUUAAUAUCUUGCAAUAAUGGCUCGUCUGCCUUUAAUAGUACAAAGUGUGAGGCGUAAAAGAAUUGGUCUUGCAUUGACAAUAUGGUUGCAAAUGUGUACAGUUGUGAGUUGGUUCUUAGUUACAUUGGGUGCCAUCCAUAGCCUACAUACUUAUAGACCAAUGAUUAGAUUCUAUAUAUUAGAUUUUUAAGCAAAACGAGAUUAUGUGAAAAGACUUGUAUAUGCUAGUGACGAGACCUAUAUUUAACAAGUUAGGAUGAAUAGAAUUACCUUUUUUAAACUAUGUGAGAUGUUACAAACUUUAGGGGAAUUGAAGUCGUCAAGGAACAUGCUUGUUGAUGAGCAAGUGGCAAUGUUUUUACAUAUCAUUUCUCAUCACCUUAAAAAUCGAGCUAUCAAGCAUCACUUUAAUAGGCCCGGGGAAACUGUUAGCUGAUCAUUUCACAAUGGUUUAAAUGUUGACAUACGCUUACAAGAUGUGUUAUUUAAAACGGCAGAGCCAAUUACAGCUAAUUCUACAGACCCAAGGUGGAAAUGGUUCAAGGUAUUGGAGUGAGUUCUGUAUAUAGCUUAUACAUAAUUUAGUUGAUUUAGAUUUAAAUAUAGUAUUCUAACUCAAGGUUUUAUACAUGUGAUGUAGAAUUGCUUAGGUGCUUUAGAUGGAACCCACAUCAAGAUUAGGGUUCCAACAGUUGAUAAACCUAGAUAUCGAACACGAAAAGGUGACAUAGCAACAAAUAUGUUAGGUGUUUGUACACCUAGUAUGCAUUUUGUUUAUGUUCUUCCUGGUUGGGAAGGUUCUGUUGCUAAUGAACGGGUUCUUUGAGAUGCUAUUAGUCGGAGACAUGGACUAAAAGUUCCUCAUAGUAAAGCUCAAAAUUAGAGGACUUUGAAUUAAUCAUUAAAAUCAUACUUUUUUAGGAAAUUAACCAUGACAAAUAGUUUUUUUAUAGGUUGUUAUUAUCUAGAUGAUGCUAGAUACACAAAUUAUGAGGGAUUUCUUGCACCUUUUAGAGGACAAAUAUAUCAUUUGAAUGAGUGGCGUCAGGGUUACCAGCCAAGUACUCCGGAAGAAUUUUUCAAUAUGAAACAUGCUUCAGCACGUAAUGUUAUUGAAAGAUGCUUUGGGUUAUUAAAACUUAGAUGGGGAAUACUUAGGAGUCCAUCAUUCUAUC
rnacentral:lncRNA from 1 species